CCUUCUUGGCACUUUUUCUACAAUCAAUUAGGAAGAGAUAAUAAUGGACUCAGUAGCAACAUCGUCUUUCAAUCUCUGCGUUAUCUACGAUUAAAUUCACCAACUGAAGAGAGGAAAUUGUGGCGCUUCGAAAGCCAAUCUACGUCUCAAGUCUAAGUUUCUUCAAAAUCCAUAAGAAGAGCUAGUGCAUCUCAACUCUCCUUUUCCAAUAUCAUGAAUAAGGACGAAAGCAACGUAGAUCUAUCAGUAGUUCUCUUUAUAGAAGAGGAUGAUGCUCCGGCUGUUGUUGCAUCUAGCUGGCUGAGAUUUCGAGACAAAAUGUGUUAUUGGCCAUCUCACAUUAAAUCUGAGUGUAAAAGAGAAAAGCUGGUCCAUUCCUCCGCUGUCCCAGACCCUGAACAAGGUUGGGAGCUUUGCGCAGUGAGGGUCCUUCAGAAAGGAAUCAAGGAUCCGUUGAUUGCUCGGACCAAGGCGAAAUUGGCAGAAACAACCUCAGACAUAGAGAUACAGCACCUGAAAAGACCCAAAAAACCUGUUCAAAAAUUUUCCCCGGAAGAUACAUCUGAUGAAGAAAAUCAGCGAUCAGAUAAGACAGAUAGGAAAAGGCCAAAGAAAUCCGGCGAGAUUUUUCAAGGACUCUACAAUACCUCAAAUCUGCUGUAGAAAGCAAUGGGAGACUACUGGAAAAAUUCUGGAGAAAGUAGAGAAGCUAGAAAUUGGGGCAAGUAGCGAAGCUGCCGUUAAAACUAACUCAGCGGAAAGCAACAUUGAUGAAAUGCUUCCGUGUAAAACAUAUCAAGAUGUAUUGAAAGUGGAAGAGACUAUAAUCAAGUCGACUGAUGCACUGAAUAAAUUGACGAAAAUUCUUCAACUUGUCGGAGGUUCGGAGACCAAGACGCUACUACAUAACAUGGUCCGAAAAAUUGUGGUGGAUGAAGUAGCACAGCUGUACAGUUUCAAAGGGGCUGUUGCAGGGAAGAAAUCGUUUCAAAAUCUAAAAAUGUAUAAAGUUUUAAAAGGAGUUAUUCAGAAACAGAAAGCAGAUGCCACUGACGACUAUCUGAAAGACGUAAUUGGAGAUUGGCUGACACAAGCUAAAUUUCGUGUUAAAAGAAGGCUUGAUCGAGCAGCCAAGAAAGUCAACAAUCCUGGUAAAGGCGUGGUUAUUGUAACUAACCAAGUCACCAAUGACCUUGAAGAACCUGGUGUAACUUUAGAAGAUGUAGGACCAGAUGAAAAUCAAGAGGAAAAUCUAGAGAAACAUAAAGAGAGAGAUGAGUUAGAUGAAAAUAUCUAACCAAUUAUGAUGUCUACCAUCUACUUAAAUAUCCACUACUAUCCAUAGUAAUGUCUGCUGAUACUGUUGUUUUAUCAGAGAGUUGGAUAAUGCUGUUUAGCUCCGUACAUAUUCAUAUGAAUAUUUGUACGUACUUAUGAAUAUUUAUACAGUACAUACCUAAUAUUUAUACGUACGUAAUAUUUAUACGUGUACUCUUAUUCCUUGAGGCUAUUGUUUUUGUGAUUUCUCUUUUGGUAAUUUUUUUACCUUAAUAUUAUUUAGUUUUCUUUUUUUUCUUUUUUUCGGGCGAAUACAUUAGUAAAUUGUAAUCCUGUUUUGCAGCCGCCAAAUUUGACUGAGUUUUCAGCUUCUUCCUUUUUGUAUUUUAUUGAGGAAUUCAAGAGAGCGCGAUGAGUUAGAUGAAAAUAUUUAAACAAUUUCCCAGAUCUAUCAUCUACGAAUAAUAUUCACUGUAGUAUCCAUAAUAAUGUCUUCUGACAUUUGUUGUUUUUUCAAAGAGCGGAAUGGUUUUGUUUAGCUCCUUAUAUAUUUAUAUGAAUUUUCACACGUGCAUACUUGUGCACUUUUAUUCCUUGAGCCUACUGAUUUUUGUGAUUUCUCUUUGGGUAAUUAUUUUACCUUCAUAUUAUUUAGUUUUCUUUUGUCAUUGAGGAAUAAUAAUUUUUAUUUUUCGCGGGCCAAUACAUUAAUAAUUGUAACCCUGUUUAGCAGCCGCUAAUUUUUGACUGAGUUUUCAGCUUCUUCCUUUUUGUACUUUAUUUUGAGUUGCAUUUCACAAUACACAAGAUGUUAUUGUAAAUCCUUUGACUUAAUUUUUCUUAUUUUCCAGUCAAGUUUGUUGACAACAGAAAAUUAGUUUACACCUAGAACCAUAAUUAGACUGAGCUUAGCAAAAAGCAGCCAAUAUCUAAAGAAAAUAAAUAAAUAAAUUAACGUAAAUGUAGUUUCCAGCAUAACUCCUAAUAUUUUAUCUCAUUGAAAAUUAAUUGUAAGGAUGAAA
rnacentral:lncRNA from 1 species